CCUACGGGAGGCAGCAGUGAGGAAUAUUGGACAAUGGGUUAGCGCCUGAUCCAGCCAUCCCGCGUGAAGGACGACGGCCCUAUGGGUUGUAAACUUCUUUUGUACAGGGAUAAACCUAUCUACGUGUAGAUAGCUGAAGGUACUUACGAUAGACCAUCA
rnacentral:rRNA from 1 species